UCCCUUAAAGCAAUUUUUAAAAAUUGUGUUUUAUUUCCUUUUUUUAUUUUAAUAUUUUUUAUUAAGGGCUAUGAAAAUAUCCAGAAAGAUAAAUGAAUGUGAUGCAAUGAUAUAUGUCCUAAUAUGAAAAACUUUCAGUACAUUGUUUUCCUUCACAGUGGCCUUCAAAUCACAGGAGGCAGUGGUUCCCUGCCAUUUCUUCUAUUACACGCUGCAGAAUUUCUGAAUCAUUUUCCUGAGGAAUAAAGAAGAAAUUCUGCAUCAAGACUACAGCAUCAGCUCCCGUCUGAGAGUUUCUAGUUUGCCAGUCUGUCCUAUGGAUUUCAGACUUGCCAGCCCCCACAAUUAUGUAAGCCAAUUUCUUGGAAUGAAUGUCUUUAUACACACACACGCACAUACAUACACACACACAUCCUACUGGUGCUAUUUCUCCGGAAGACACUGACUGAUACAUUGGGAAAGCCCAUGUGGCUUGCAGCCAGCAGCCAGCAAGAAGCGGGCCCCUCGGUACUGUACCCUGGAGGAAAUGAAUUUUGCCAACAAUCUGAUCGAAUUUGGAAACAGGCUCUUCUCCAGUGAAACCUCCAGAUGAGAAAACAAUUCAGCAGACAUCUUGACUGCUGUCUUGUGAGACCAUGGCCCAAUAAACCAUGUUUGGACUUCUAACCCAUAGGAACUAUAAGAUAAUAAAUGUGUGUUGUUGUUGUUGUU